rnacentral:ncRNA from 1 species
AGGUCCAGGCAAAAUAAGAAUUGACAGAUUGAGAGCUCUUUCUUGUUCUUGAAUAGUGGUGGUGCAUGGCCAUUCUUAGUUGGUGAAGUGAUUUGUCUGCUUAAUUAUGAUAAUGAACAAAACGUUUAACCUGCUAAAUAACCCAACUCGCGUUUUCGGGGCCGCUGACUUCUUAGAGGGACUAUCAGCUCAAGCCGAUGGCGUUUGAUGCAAUAAUAGGUCUAUGCCCUUAGAAGUUCU